rnacentral:rRNA from 1 species
GUCCACGCCGUAAACGAUGGAUACUAGCUGUUCGGAGCAAUCUGAGUGGCUAAGCGAAAGUGAUAAGUAUCCCACCUGGGGAGUACGUUCGCAAGAAUGAAACUCAAAGGAAUUGACGGGGGCCCGCACAAGCGGUGGAGCAUGUGGUUUAAUUCGAUGAUACGCGAGGAACCUUACCAAGGCUUAAAAUGUAGAUUGACCGAUUUUGGAAACAGAUCUUUCGCAAGACAAUUUACAAGGUGCUGCAUGGUUGUCGU